UACGGGGGGGGUAAGCGUUGUUCGGAAUUACUGGGCGUAAAGGGCUCGUAGGCGGCCAACUAAGUCAUACGUGAAAUCCCUCAGCUUAACUGGGGAACUGCGUGUGAUACUGGAUGGCUUGGAUUUGGGAGAGGGAUGCGGAAUUCCAGGUGUAGAGGUGAAAUUCGUAGAUAUCGGGAGGAACACCAGUGGCGAAGGCGGCGACCUGGACGGACACUGACGCUGAGACGCGAAAGCGUGGGGAGCAAACAGG
rnacentral:rRNA from 1 species